AGUGGGGAAUAUUGGACAAUGGGCGAAAGCCUGAUCCAGCCAUGCCGCGUGUGUGAAGAAGGCCUUUUGGUUGUAAAGCACUUUAAGCGAGGAGGAGGCUACUUAGAUUAAUACUCUAGGAUAGUGGACGUUACUCGCAGAAUAAGCACCGGCUAACUCUGUGCCAGCAGCCGCGGUAAUACAGAGGGUGCGAGCGUUAAUCGGAUUUACUGGGCGUAAAGCGUGCGUAGGCGGCUUUUUAAGUCGGAUGUGAAAUCCCUGAGCUUAACUUAGGAAUUGCAUUCGAUACUGGGAAGCUAGAGUAUGGGAGAGGAUGGUAGAAUUCCAGGUGUAGCGGUGAAAUGCGUAGAGAUCUGGAGGAAUACCGAUGGCGAAGGCAGCCAUCUGGCCUAAUACUGACGCUGAGGUACGAAAGCAUGGGGAGCAAACAGGAUUAGAUACCCUGGUAGUCCAUGCCGUAAACGAUGUCUACUAGCCGUUGGGGCCUUUGAGGCUUUAGUGGCGCAGCUAACGCGAUAAGUAGA
rnacentral:rRNA from 1 species